AUACGUAGGGGGCGAGCGUUGUCCGGAAUGAUUGGGCGUAAAGGGCGCGUAGGCGGCGCGGUAAGUCUGGAGUGAAAGUCCUGCUUUCAAGGUGGGAAUUGCUUUGGAUACUGCCGCGCUUGAGUGCAGGAGAGGUUAUCGGAAUUCCCGGUGUAGCGGUGAAAUGCGUAGAGAUCGGGAGGAACACCAGUGGCGAAGGCGGGUAACUGGACUGCAACUGACGCUGAGGCGCGAAAGUGUGGGGAGCAAACAGGAUUAGAUACCCUGGUAGUCCACACUGUAAACGAUGAAUGCUAGGUGUAAGAGGUAUCGACCCCUUUUGUGCCGCAGUAAACACAAUAAGCAUUCCGCCUGGGGAGUACGGUCGCAAGAUUAAAACUCAAAUGAAUUGACGGGG
rnacentral:rRNA from 1 species